UGCACUUAUGUAUGUUUCUGUUUAACUCGUGGACGAAGACUUAUGGAUAGGUGCAAAAAAUAACUCCUCUUGGCCGGGCACGGUGGCUCACGCCUGUAAUCCCAGCACUUUGGGAGGCU
rnacentral:snoRNA from 1 species